rnacentral:tRNA from 1 species
CGGUUCGGGGCGCCCGAGGUCGCGCCGCUGCUGGCCUACGGCGCCAGCCCCCGCGCCACCCUGGGGCUGGUCUCCGCCGCCCGGGCCCA